CAUUGGAUCCAGACUUUGAUUCUGGCUCAGGACGAACGCUGGCGGCGUGCCUAACACAUGCAAGUCGAGCGGAGACAGUCGGGAGCUUGCUUUUGACUGCUUUAGCGGCGGACGGGUGAGUAACGCGUGAGCAACCUUUCUCCUACUGGGGGAUAACACAGGGAAACUUGUACUAAUACCGCAUGAGACCACAGGGAGACAUCUUCCAGGGGUCAAAGAUUUAUUGGUAAGAGGUGGGCUCGCGUCUGAUUAGAUAGUUGGUGGGGUAACGGCCUACCAAGUCGACGAUCAGUAGCCGACCUGAGAGGGUGAUCGGCCACAUUGGGACUGAGACACGGCCCAAACUCCUACGGGAGGCAGCAGUGGGGAAUAUUGGGCAAUGGGGGGAACCCUGACCCAGCAACGCCGCGUGGAGGAAGAAGGUUUUCGGAUCGUAAACUCCUGUCCUUGGAGACGAGUAGAAGACGGUAUCUGAGGAGGAAGCCCCGGCUAACUACGUGCCAGCAGCCGCGGUAAUACGUAGGGGGCAAGCGUUGUCCGGAAUGAUUGGGCGUAAAGGGCGCGUAGGCGGCUCUGUAAGUCUGGAGUGAAAGUCCUGCUUUUAAGGUGGGAAUUGCUUUGGAUACUGUAGGGCUUGAGUGCAGGAGAGGUAAGUGGAAUUCCCAGUGUAGCGGUGAAAUGCGUAGAGAUUGGGAGGAACACCAGUGGCGAAGGCGACUUACCGGACUGUAACUGACGCUGAGGCGCGAAAGUGUGGGGAGCAAACAGGAUUAGAUACCCUGGUAGUCCACACUGUAAACGAUGAGUGCUAGGUGUAGGAGGUAUCGACCCCUUCUGUGCCGCAGUCAACACAAUAAGCACUCCGCCUGGGGAGUACGGCCGCAAGGUUGCAACUCAAAGGAAUUGACGGA
rnacentral:rRNA from 1 species